GGUGAGAUGGCUUAGUGGUUAAUAGCACUGGCUGCUCUUCCAGAGGACCUGGGUUUGAUCCCCAGCACCC
rfam:Mesocricetus auratus contig136122, whole genome shotgun sequence.